rnacentral:misc_RNA from 1 species
GAUGAAGAACGUAGCGAAAUGCGAUAAUUAAUGUGAAUUGCAGAAUUCCGUGAAUCAUCGAAUCUUUGAACGCACAUUGCGCCCGCCAGCAUUCUGGCGGGCAUGCCUGUUCGAGCGUCAUUUCAACCCUCGACCUCCCCUUGGGGAGGUCGGCGUUGGGGACCGGCAGCACACCGCCGGCCCUGAAAUGGAGUGGCGGCCCGUCUGCGGCGACCUCUGCGUAGUAAUACAGCUCGCACCGGAACCCCGACGCGGCCACGCCGUAAAACACCCAACUUCUGAACGUUGACCUCGAAUCAGGUAGGACUACCCGCUGAACUUAAGCAUAUCAAUAAGCGGAGGA